rnacentral:rRNA from 1 species
CGAACGGGUGAGUAACACGUGGGCAAUCUGCCCUGCACUCUGGGACAAGCCCUGGAAACGGGGUCUAAUACCGGAUACGACACAGGGAGGCAUCUCCUCUGGGUGGAAAGCUCCGGCGGUGCAGGAUGAGCCCGCGGCCUAUCAGCUUGUUGGUGAGGUAACGGCUCACCAAGGCGACGACGGGUAGCCGGCCUGAGAGGGCGACCGGCCACACUGGGACUGAGACACGGCCCAG